GACGAACGCUGGCGGCGUGCUUAACACACGCAAGUCGAACGAAGUGGCGAACGGGUGAGUAACGCGUAAUCAACCUGCCCUUCAGAGGGGGACAACAGUUGGAAACGACUGCUAAUACCGCAUACUUAAGGAGGGGAGUGAGUCUGAUGAGCGAGUUGGAGGGGUAACGGCCAACCAAGGCGAUGAUCAGUAGCAGGUCUGAGGGGAUGGACGACCACAUUGGGACUGAGGCACGGCCCAGACUCCUACGGGAGGCAGCCGUUGGGAAUCUUCCGCAAUGGAGGGAAGUCUGACGGAGCAACGCCGCGUGAGUGAUGACAGCCUUCGGGUUGUAAAGCUCUGUUAAGCGGGACGCGGUACCGGAAUAGAAAGCCACGGCUAACUACGUGCCAGCCGCCGCGGUAAUAC
rnacentral:rRNA from 1 species